rnacentral:rRNA from 1 species
AACGAACGCUGGCGGCAUGCCUAACACAUGCAAGUCGAACGAACCCUUCGGGGUGAGUGGCGCACGGGUGCGUAACGCGUGGGAACCUGCCUUUAGGUUUGGAAUAACAGUGAGAAAUCGCUGCUAAUACCAAAUAAUGUCUUCGGACCAAAGAUUUAUCGCCUUUAGAUGGGCCCGCGUUGGAUUAGCUAGUUGGUGGGGUAAAGGCUCACCAAGGCGACGAUCCAUAGCUGGUCUUAGAGGAUGAUCAGCCACACUGGGACUGAGACACGGCCCAGACUCCUACGGGAGGCAGCAGUGGGGAAUAUUGGACAAUGGGCGAAAGCCUGAUCCAGCAAUGCCGCGUGAGUGAUGAAGGCCUUAGGGUUGUAAAGCUCUUUUACCAGGGAUGAUAAUGACAGUAC